UGGGGAAUAUUGCACAAUGGAGGGAACUCUGAUGCAGCGACGCCGCGUGAACGAAGAAGGCUUUCGAGUCGUAAAGUUCUUUUAUAUGGGAAGAUAAUGACGGUACCAUAAGAAAAAGCCCCGGCUUACUACGUGCCAGCAGCCGCGGUAAUACGUAGGGGGCUAGCGUUGUCCGGAAUCACUGGGCGUAAAGGGUUCGCAGGCGGAAAUGCAAGUCAGGUGUAAAAGGCAGUAGCUUAACUACUGUAAGCAUUUGAAACUGCAUAUCUUGAGAAGAGUAGAGGUAAGUGGAAUUUUUAGUGUAGCGGUGAAAUGCGUAGAUAUUAAAAAGAAUACCGGUGGCGAAGGCGGCUUACUGGGCUCAUUCUGACGCUGAGGAACGAAAGCGUGGGUAGCAAACAGG
rnacentral:rRNA from 1 species